AAUUCUCAACCCCUCCAGUUUUUGUAUUGGAUUUUGGGGCUUGGAUGUGGAGGUGCUGUCAGCCUGCUACAGGUUGACUCCUCUAAAAUGAAUUAGCGGAACUGUUUGCGAUCCGUCACUGGUGUGAUAAUUAUCUAUGCCAAUGGGGGUUGCUCUCUGUGUUGUUCAGCUACCAAUCGUCCGUAAGGGACAACCAAUUACUGAUU
rnacentral:misc_RNA from 1 species